rnacentral:rRNA from 1 species
UACGAAGGGUGCUAGCGUUGUUCGGAAUUACUGGGCGUAAAGCGCGCGUAGGCGGCUAUUCAAGUCAGAGGUGAAAUCCCUGGGCUCAACCCAGGAAUUGCCUUUGAAACUGUAUAGCUUGAGUGUCGGAGGGGAUAGCGGAAUUCCUAAUGUAGAGGUGAAAUUCGUAGAUAUUAGGAGGAACACCGGUGGCGAAGGCGGCUAUCUGGACGACAACUGACGCUGAGGCGCGAAAGCCAGGGGAGCGAACGGG